CCUACGGGAGGCAGCAGUGAGGAAUAUUGGUCAAUGGACGAGAGUCUGAACCAGCCAAGUCGCGUGAAGGAUGACUGCCCUCUGGGUUGUAAACUUCUUUUAUAUGGGAAUAAAAUGUUCCACUUGUGGGAUUUUGUAUGUACCAUAUGAAUAAGGAUCGGCUAACUCCGUGCCAGCAGCCGCGGUAAUACGGAGGAUCCGAGCGUUAUCCGGAUUUAUUGGGUGUAAAGGGAGCGUAGGUGGAGUGUUAAGUCAGUUGUGAAAGUUUGCGGCUCAACCGUAAAAUUGCAGUUGAAACUGGCAGUCUUGAGUACAGUAGAGGUGGGCGGAAUUCGUGGUGUAGCGGUGAAAUGCUUAGAUAUCACGAAGAACACCGAUUGCGAAGGCAGUUCACUGGACUGCAACUGACACUGAGGCUCGAAAGUGUGGGUAUCAAACAGGAUUAGAUACCCGAGUAGUC
rnacentral:rRNA from 1 species